rnacentral:rRNA from 1 species
GGAGGAAAAGAAACUAACAAGGAUUCCCCUAGUAACGGCGAGUGAAGCGGGAAGAGCUCAAAUUUGUAAUCUGGCCCUUUCAGGGUCCGAGUUGUAAUCUCGAGAAGUGUUUUCCGCGCCGGACCGCAUACAAGUCUGUUGGAAUACAGCGUCAUAGUGGUGAGAGCCCCGUAAUUGAUGUGGAUGCCCGGUGCUUUGUGAUACACUUUCGAAGAGUCGAGUUGUUUGGGAAUGCAGCUCAAAUUGGGUGGUAAAUUCCAUCUAAAGCUAAAUAUUGGCGAGAGACCGAUAGCGAACAAGUACCGUGAGGGAAAGAUGAAAAGCACUUUGGAAAGAGAGUUAACAGUACGUGAAAUUGUUGGAAGGGAAACGCUUGAAGUCAGACUUGCUAUUCGGAAUUCAGCCGCAAGGUGUACUUUUCGAUUUGCAGGCCAGCAUCAGUUUUUGGGGGUGGAAAAGGGUGGAGAGAAGGUAGCAACCUUGGUUGUGUUAUAGCUCUUUACUGGAUUCAUCUUUGGGGACUGAGGAUCGCAGUGCGCAAUUUACUUUGCAAACCUUUCGAGGUUUUCGUACUUAGGAUGCUGGUGGAAUGGCUUUAAACGACCCGUCUUG